CAGCCGCCGCGGUAAUACCGGCGGCCCGAGUGGCGGUCACUAUUAUUGGGCUUAAAGCGUCCGUAGCCGGGGUGGGAAGUCCUCCGGGAAAUCUGGCCGCUUAACGGUCAGAAUGCCGGAGGAUACUCCCAGCCUAGGGAGCGGGAGAGGCCGAGGGGAUUCCCGGAGUAGGGGGGAAAUCCUAUAAUCCCGGGAGGACCACCUGUGGCGAAGGCGCUCGGCUGGAACGCGUCCGACGGUGAGGGACGAAGGCCAGGGGAGCAAACCGGAUUAGAUACCCGGGUAGUCCUGGCUGUAAACGAUGCGGACUUUGUGUCGGACAAGCUAUGAGCUUGUCCGGUGCCGGAGGGAAACCGUUAAGUCCGCCGCCUGGGGAGUACGGCCGCAAGGCUGAAACUUAAGGAAUUGGCGGG
rnacentral:rRNA from 1 species